rnacentral:rRNA from 1 species
CGCGUAGGCGGCCACCGCAAGUCAGUUGUGAAAGCUCUGGGCUUAACCCAGAAAGGUCAACUGAUACUGCGGGGCUAGAGUGCAGAAGGGGCAACUGGAAUCCUCGGUGUAGCGGUGAAAUGCGUAGAUAUCGAGAGGAACACCUGCGGCGAAGGCGGGUUGCUGGGCUGACACUGACGCUGAUGUGCGAAAGCUAGGGGAGCGAACG